ensembl:snRNA U6 U6 spliceosomal RNA
GUGCUAACUUUAACAGCACAUAUACUAAAAUUGGAAUGACACAAAGAAGAUUAGCAUGGCCCUUGUGUAAGGAUGACACACAAAUUCAUGAAGCUUUCCAUAUUUUG